GAUGAAUGCUGGCGGCGUGCCUAACACAUGCAAGUCGAGCGGCAGCGCGAGUAGUUUACUACUUGGCGGCGAGCGGCGGACGGCUGAGUAACGCGUGGGAAUCUGCCCCAAAGUGAGGAAUAACUGCCCGAAAGGGUAGCUAAUACCGCAUAUGGUCUUCGGAUUAAAGUAUUUAUACGCUUUGGGAGGAGCCCGCGUCGGAUUAGGUUGUUGGUAGGGUAAUGGCCUACCAAGCCGACGAUCCGUAGCUGGUCUGAGAGGAUGAUCAGCCAGACUGGGACUGAGACACGGCCCAGACUCCUACGGGAGGCAGCAGUGAGGAAUCUUCCACAAUGGGCGAAAGCCUGAUGGAGCAACGCCGCGUGAAGGAUGAAGGCCUUAGGGUUGUAAACUUCUUUUAUAAGUGAAGAAUAUGACGGUAACUUAUGAAUAAGCACCGGCUAACUACGUGCCAGCAGCCGCCGUAAUAC
rnacentral:rRNA from 1 species